rnacentral:rRNA from 1 species
GAUGAACGCUGGCGGCGUGCUUAACACAUGCAAGUCGAGCGGAAAGGCUCCUGCUUGCAGGGGUACUCGAGUGGCGAACGGGUGAGUAACACGUGGGUGAUCCGCCCUGCACUUCGGGAUAAGCCUGGGAAACUGGGUCUAAUACCGGAUAGGACCACAUUUUGGAUGGUGUGGUGGAAAGUUUUUCGGUGUGGGAUGAGCUCGCGGCCUAUCAGCUUGUUGGUGGGGUAAUGGCCUACCAAGGCGUCGACGGGUAGCCGGCCUGAGAGGGUGUACGGCCACAUUGGGACUGAGAUACGGCCCAGACUCCUACGGGAGGCAGCAAUGGGGAAUAUUGCACAAUGGGCGCAAGCCUGAUGCAGCGACGCCGCGUGGGGGAUGACGGCCUUCGGGUUGUAAACUCCUUUCGCUAGGGACGAAGCGCAAGUGACGGUACCUGGAGAAGAAGCACCGGCUAACUACGUG